GAUGAACGCUGGCGGCGUGCCUAAAACAUGCAAGUCGAGCGGUAAGGCCUCUUCGGAGGUACACGAGCGGCGGACGGGUGAGUAACACGUGGGAAUCUACCCCAAACUGAGGGAUAAGCACCGGAAACGGUGUCUAAUACCGCAUAUGGUCUUCGGAUUAAAGCUUCGGCGGUUUGGGAAGAGCCCGCGUAAGAUUAGCUAGUUGGUGAGGUAAAGGCUUACCAAGGCGACGAUCUUUAGCUGGUUUGAGAGGAUGAUCAGCCACACUGGAACUGAGACACGGUCCAGACUCCUACGGGAGGCAGCAGUUAGGAAUUUUCCACAAUGGGCGCAAGCCUGAUGGAGCAACGCCGCGUGCAGGAUGAAGGUUUUCGGAUUGUAAACUGCUUUUAUGUGCGAAGAAUAUGACGGUAACACAUGAAUAAGGAUCGGCUAACUCCGUGCCAGCCGCCGCAGUAA
rnacentral:rRNA from 1 species